rnacentral:rRNA from 1 species
UACGAAGGGUGCAAGCGUUACUCGGAAUUACUGGGCGUAAAGCGCACGCAGGCGGUCUGUUAAGUCGGAUGUGAAAUCCCCGGGCUUAACCUGGGAACUGCAUUCGAAACUGGCAGGCUGGAGUCUCGUAGAGGGGGGUAAAAUUCCAGGUGUAGCGGUGAAAUGCGUAGAGAUCUGGAGGAAUACCGGUGGCGAAGGCGGCCCCCUGGACGAAGACUGACGCUCAGGUGCGAAAGCGUGGGGGGCAAACAGG